GUCACGCCGUAAACGAUGGAUGCUAGUUGUCAGGCAGCAUGCUGUUUGGUGACGCAGCUAACGCAUUAAGCAUCCCGCCUGGGGAGUACGGCCGCAAGGUUAAAACUCAAAGAAAUUGACGGGGGCCCGCACAAGCGGUGGAGCAUGUGGUUUAAUUCGAAGCAACGCGCAGAACCUUACCUACCCUUGACAUACCAAUCGCGGAUUACAGAGAUGUUUUCCUUCAGUUAGGCUGGAUUGGAU
rnacentral:rRNA from 1 species